GCACUGCUGAGGAGUCCCACACUAAGACGAAACGGCCGUCCAGUGC
rfam:Schistosoma haematobium scaffold312_20, whole genome shotgun sequence.